AUGGUUUGCUUCAAGAUUACCAAUAUUAGCCUCACGCUGGAGAUUUUACUCAUAGCUUUUACUGUCUGCAUGCAUGCGCUACGGUUUGUAGCUCAGGAUUUGUUUGAAUCCAAUUGGGUACGUCUUCUCAUUGCUGGUGUGGCGUGUAUUCCUGGAGCCCUAACACUUUGUACACUUUAUGGUCUUUUCUCCAAGCCUGAUGUUGUGUUGCUAGAUCUUAUAAUCAAAGACCACAUAUUGUUCAAGAUAUCCAGUAUCAUCAAUUCAUUGUUCAGACUACUUGAUGUGAUUUUCUUAAGUAUUGCUGCAACUAGAGUGACCGCCAAUUACUUGCAAGGGAAACUGCAGGAGUGUUUCCACUGA
rnacentral:rRNA from 1 species